GCACCGCUCCCUCUACUCGGAUCGUCCGGCACGUUCCUGCCGGUGAAGGGACCCACCA
rfam:Streptomyces mobaraensis NBRC 13819 = DSM 40847 contig031, whole genome shotgun sequence.